AGGAUAAACGCUGGCGGCGUGCAUGAGACAUGCAAGUCGAACGGACGAUCAGGGCUUGCUCUGAUCGUUAGUGGCGGACGGCUGAGUAACGCGUAGGUGACCUGCCCCGAAGUGGGGAAUAACUGCCCGAAAGGGUGGCUAAUACCGCAUGUGGUGGUGUGUUCAUUCACACCAGUAAAGCCGCAAGGCGCUUCGGGAGGGGCCUGCGUCCGAUUAGCUCGUUGGUGGGGUAACGGCUCACCAAGGCGACGAUCGGUAGGUGGUCUGAGAGGACGAUCACCCAGACUGGGACUGAGACACGGCCCAGACUCCUACGGGAGGCAGCAGUCGGGAAUUUUUGCGCAAUGGACGAAAGUCUGACGCAGCAACGCCGCGUGAGGGAUGAAGGCCUUCGGGUUGUAAACCUCUUUAUCAGGGAAGAUAAUGACGGUACCUGAUGAAUAAGUCACGGCUAACUUCGUGCCAGCAGCCGC
rnacentral:rRNA from 1 species